AUUUGCGUAUAGUUCAUUUUUCUUCUAUAAUACUUGUCAAGUAACAUUUUCAGUCAAGGUCUGUUGAGUAACUAUUCUGUACAGGGUGAUUCAAAAAACCGCUGACAGACUUCUAGAGUAGAUAAUACAUGAAAAAUUAAGAUGAAUAGUCAUAAUCAGGGUUGCAUUGCUCAAAUGAAUGAAAAUUGUAACCGUCGUCAACGCCAUCCGAUGUCACCGUCGAUAACUAAUUCUACGCAAAUUCAAAUUUAAACAACCUUUAAGGUGGCUUAUAUUUCAUUUCUUUUUUUUGUAUUCAUCUUUGAUUAAUUAAGUCAAAUUAAGUGAUGUCAAAUAUAAAUGAUAUUGAUAAAUCAGUUAAUUUUUUUAAUAAAUGUAAUUUAUGAGUGUAAUUUUGUAAUUAAGUGUAAAAAACAUUUAAAAUUUUUUAAAUGAUAAAAAUGUCGGUUAUUAAUCCUUGCUGUGUACCAUCUUGUGAUGAUAGACAUUAAAAGAUACUAUUUUCCGACCGACCCUAUUAUUCGAAUGGCUUGGCUGUCUGGAAUACACAAUUCAAAAUUAUUUGAAUUAAUUAAUGAUAAGCGUCUAAGUAAUUAUUGUGUUUGCCCCAACCAUUUUGCAACAAUGUGCAAAUAUGUUGAGAAGAAAUUGAAAAAGGUACCUACAUUAUGCUUACUAGGUAAAUGAAAUUUUGGAUAAAAAGUUUGUUUUUUAAUCUAUAUAUGUUUUUUAAAUCAUUUAGAUUUGUAAGAAGAAACUAUAAAUAAUUGCUUUUUGUCUCCACAAGAUCAACCAACAGAAGAUACUUCAGUUAUGCUGCAUGGUAUGAAAUUAAUUAUUUAGUUUCAUAAUUCAUAAUUAUAUAAUUCAUUAUAUACCAUAUUAUAUAUGUUUAUACCCCGACAUGCCAUAUAUAUAUAUUUAUACCCCCACAUAUGUAUGCCCCGACAAACUUCCUGGUGUAACUAGUUCAACUGUUGUGCAAGUCUAUCCUGGAUGUAGUAAACAACAAGGUUGCGAAAUUGCUUCAACCUCAUUUUGUGAGGAAAAUUCUGCCAUUUCAUUAGAAAUGAAUUGGAAACGGUUCCACCUAAGUGAUGAAAAAGAAAUAAUUGAUAAGAAACGGAGGAAAUUACCUUUUACAAAGAACUGCAGCAAUUGCAACCUAAGUGGAGUAAAAAAAGCGUUGUGUCGCGCUAAGAAAAAUGCCAGAAUAAUAAGGCAAAAGCUAAUACAAUUGAGGAAAAAUCCUCAGGUAUUGGUGAACCUCAAAUAUUUGAAUAAAGAAACUAGAAAUUUCUUUAGCAGCCAGUCCCGAAAUCAGAAAAAAGAAGAGCUGGCUCUUUCCAUUUACAAACAAAGUGGUAAAGGAUACCGGUUCUUAUCAAAUUUCUUUUCAUUACCAUCCAGGAAGACGCUACAAAAAUUGUUAGGUUA